CUUCCUAUCAUUGCGGAGCAGAAUUCGCCAAGCGUUGUAUUGUUCACCCACCUACAGGGAACGUGAGCUGGAUAUAGACCGUCGCGAGAUAGGUUAGUUUUACCCUACUGAUGACUAAUCCUUGCGAUAGUAAUCCUGCUCAGUACGAGAGGAACCGCAGGUUCGGACAUUUGGUUCACGCACUCGGUCGAGCAGCCGGUGGUGCGAAGCUACCAUCCGUUGGAUUAUGCCUGAACGCCUCUAAGGCCGUAUCCAUUCUAGUCAAAUACGGCAACGAUAGAUCUAGGAGACUCGUAAGAGUUGAAAGGCUCGAACAAUGUGAAUCCACUAGGUGGCCGGCCCUUCGUGACCGGCCAUCGCACUAGAGCCCCUGUUUGCCGUACGGGCGUCUUUGGAUUUCGUCCUCGGGAUCUUCCCGAUCAGACGGACCACGGCGCUCUAACGGUCGAUCAUGGGUACUCCAAAGUUCGACGACGAGACUUAGAAACGUUCGUAAACGACUUAGGUACCUGGCGGGGUGUUGUGCACGGUAGAGCAGUUACCACGCUGCGAUCUGUUAAGACUCAGCCCUAUGCUUGGGGAUUCGU
rnacentral:ncRNA from 1 species